AGAGUUUGAUCCUGGCUCAGGAUGAACGCUAGCGGCAGGCUUAACACAUGCAAGUCGAGGGGUAACAGGGAUUGCUUGCAAUCCGCUGACGACCGGCGCACGGGUGCGUAACGCGUAUGCAACCUACCUUCUACAGGGGGAUAGUCAAUAGAAAUGUUGAAUAAUACCCCAUACGAUCUUUGAAUAGCAUUAUUUAAAGAAGAAAGUUCCGGCGGUAGAAGAUGGGCAUGCGUCCUAUUAGUUAGUUGGAGAGGUAACGGCUCCCCAAGACAUCGAUAGGUAGGGGUCCUGAGAGGGAGACCCCCCACACUGGUACUGAGACACGGACCAGACUCCUACGGGAGGCAGCAGUGAGGAAUAUUGGACAAUGGAGGCAACUCUGAUCCAGCCAUGCCGCGUGCAGGAAGACUGCCCUAUGGGUUGUAAACUGCUUUUAUACAGGAAGAAAUGUACCUACGUGUAGGUAUUUGACGGUACUGUACGAAUAAGGAUCGGCUAACUCCGUGCCAGCAGCCGCGGUAAU
rnacentral:rRNA from 1 species